AUUGAACGCCGGCGACAUGCCUUACACAUGCAAGUCGAACGGUAACAGGUCUUCGGAUGCUGACGAGUGGCGAACGGGUGAGUAAUACAUCGGAACGUGCCUAGUAGUGGGGGAUAACUACUCGAAAGAGUGGCUAAUACCGCAUGAGAUCUACGGAUGAAAGCAGGGGAUCGCAAGACCUUGUGCUACUAGAGCGGCCGAUGGCAGAUUAGGUAGUUGGUGGGAUAAAAGCUUACCAAGCCGACGAUCUGUAGCUGGUCUGAGAGGACGAUCAGCCACACUGGGACUGAGACACGGCCCAGACUCCUACGGGAGGCAGCAGUAGGGAAUUUUGGACAAUGGGCGAAAGCCUGAUCCAGCAAUGCCGCGUGCAGGAUGAAGGCCUUCGGGUUGUAAACUGCUUUUGUACGGAACGAAAAGCCCCGGGUUAAUACCCUGGGGUCAUGACGGUACCGUAAGAAUAAGCACCGGCUAACUACGUGCCAGCCGCCGCAGUAA
rnacentral:rRNA from 1 species